GACGUAGGGUGCGAGCGUUGUCCGGAUUUAUUGGGCGUAAAGAGCUCGUAGGCGGCUCGUCGCGUCGGCUGUGAAAACCCGCGGCUUAACUGUGGGCUUGCAGCUGAUACGGGCGGGCUAGAGUUCGGUAGGGGAGACUGGAAUUCCUGGUGUAGCGGUGAAAUGCGCAGAUAUCAGGAGGAGCACCGGUGGCGAAGGCGGGUCUCUGGGCCGAUACUGACGCUGAGGAGCGAAAGCGUGGGGAGCGAACAGG
rnacentral:rRNA from 1 species